GAAGGAAGGAAGGAAGGAAGGAAGGAAGGAAGGAGGGAGGGAGGGAGGGAGGGAGGGAGGAAGGAAGGAAGGAAGGAAGGAAGGAAGGAAGGAAGGAAGGAAGGAAGGAAGGAAGGAAGGAAUAGAGGAUUGAUGGACGCAUGGAAGUAUGGAAGGGUCAAUGAACAUAGUGAUGGAUGGACAGACAGGUCGCUAUAGACAGGUAGCUGAAGAAUGACAGACAGGUAGCUAUAGACUGACAGACAGGUGGCUAUAGACUGAUACACAGGUAGCUCUAGACAGACAGACAGACAGACAGACAGACAGACAGGUAGCUCUAAACAGACAGACAGGUAGCUCUAGACAGACAGACAGGUAGCUCUAGACAGACAGACAGGUGGCUAUAGACUGAUACACAGGUAGCUGUAGACUGCCAGACAGGUCACUAAAGAUUGACAGACAGGUAGCUCUAGACCGACAGACAGGCAGCUCUAGACAGACAGUCAGACAGACAGGUAGCUCUAGACAGACAGACAGGUAGCUCUAGACAGACAGACAGGUAGCUGUAGACAGACAGACAGGCAGCUGUAGACAGACAGACAGGUAGCUGUAGACAGACAGACAGGCAGCUGUAGACAGACUGACAGGUAGCUCUAGACAGACAGACAGACAGACAGGUAGCUCCAGACAGACAGACAGACAGACAGGUAGCUGAGUCUAGACAGACAGACAGGUAGCUGCAGACAGACAGACAGGCAGCUGUAGACAGACAGACAGGCAGCUGUAGACAGACAGACAGACAGACAGACAGGUAGCUGUAGACAGACAGACAGGCAGCUCUAGACAGACUGACAGGCAGCUGUAGACAGACAGACAGGUAGCUCUAGACAGAUAGACAGUUAGCUCUAGACGGACAGACAGACAGGCAGCUGUUGACAGACAGACAGGCAGCUGUAGAGGUGGGGCUAGGAGAGCAGAGGCAGUGAGUGGGUGCUGGCGGCGUUGUACCCGCAGC
ensembl:lncRNA